rnacentral:misc_RNA from 1 species
AAGUCGUAACAAGGUUUCCGUAGGUGAACCUGCGGAAGGAUCAUUAACACUUUUAUGUGCUCCUACUAAACUAAAACUGGUGACUUUAAACCCCUGCUCGUGGGGUUAGCUUGAAAGGUUUAUAUUUUUUAAGCUAACUUUCGCGAGGAUAAAUAAUUUUAAUUUUUAACCUUUAUUUUUUUUUUUUAUUACUAACCUCAUUUGCUGGUCUCCAUGCCAGUAAAUAUUUAAAUGCGAACAACUCUUAGCAGUGGAUAUCUUGGUUCUC